UCUAUCCCAGUCUAAACCAGUAUAACCAGUGUAACCAGUUGUGGUGCAGGCGGUGGCCGUGGGGCGCCGGGGGCUGCUGGUUCUGGUGCGGAGGGGUCUGCGGGCUCUGUCCUGGCACUCCCUGGUGCUGCCCAGUCUAUCCCAGUCUAUCCCAGUCUAUCCCAGUCUAUCCCAGUCUAAACCAGUAUAACCAGUGUAACCAGUUGUGGUGCAGGCGGUGGCCGUGGGGCGCCGGGGGCUGCUGGUUCUGGUGCGGAGGGGUCUGCGGGCUCUGUCCUGGCACUCCCUGGUGCUGCCCAGUCUAUCCCAGUCUAUCCCAGUCUAUCCCAGUCUAUCCCAGUCUAACCAGUCAUAACCAGUGUAACCAGUUGUGGUGCAGGCGGUGGCCGUGGGGCGCCGGGGGCUGCUGGUUCUGGUGCGGAGGGGUCUGCGGGCUCUGUCCUGGCACUCCCUGGUGCUGCCCAGUCUAUCCCAGUCUAUCCCAGUCUAUCCCAGUCUAUCCCAGUCUAUCCCAGUAUAACCAGUGUAACCAGUUGUGGUGCAGGCGGUGGCCGUGGGGCGCCGGGGGCUGCUGGUUCUGGUGCGGAGGGGUCUGCGGGCUCUGUCCUGGCACUCCCUGGUGCUGCCCAGUCUAUCCCAGUCUAUCCCAGUCUAUCCCAGUCUAUCCCAGUCUAUCCCAGUCUAAACCAGUCUAACCAGUGUAACCAGUUGUGGUGCAGGCGGUGGCCGUGGGGCGCCGGGGGCUGCUGGUUCUGGUGCGGAGGGGUCUGCGGGCUCUGUCCUGGCACUCCCUGGUGCUGCCCAGUCUAUCCCAGUCUAUCCCAGUCUAUCCCAGUCUAUCCCAGUCUAUCCCAGUCUAAACCAGUAUAACCAGUGUAACCAGUUGUGGUGCAGGCGGUGGCCGUGGGGCGCCGGGGGCUGCUGGUUCUGGUGCGGAGGGGUCUGCGGGCUCUGUCCUGGCACUCCCUGGUGCUGCCCAGUCUAUCCCAGUCUAUCCCAGUCUAAACCAGUAUAACCAGUGUAACCAGUUGUGGUGCAGGCGGUGGCCGUGGGGCGCCGGGGGCUGCUGGUUCUGGUGCGGAGGGGUCUGCGGGCUCUGUCCUGGCACUCCCUGGUGCUGCCCAGUCUAUCCCAGUCUAUCCCAGUCUAUCCCAGUCUAUCCCAGUCUAUCCCAGUAUAUCCCAGUAUAACCAGUGUAACCAGUUGUGGUGCAGGCGGUGGCCGUGGGGCGCCGGGGGCUGCUGGUUCUGGUGCGGAGGGGUCUGCGGGCUCUGUCCUGGCACUCCCUGGUGCUGCCCAGUCUAUCCCAGUCUAUCCCAGUCUAUCCCAGUCUAUCCCAUAUAACCAGUAUAACCAGUGUAACCAGUUGUGGUGCAGGCGGUGGCCGUGGGGCGCCGGGGGCUGCUGGUUCUGGUGAGGAGGGGUCUGCGGGCUCUGUCCUGGCACUCCCUGGUGCUGCCCAGUCUAUCCCAGUCUAUCCCAGUCUAUCCCAGUCUAUCCCAGUCUAAACCAGUAUAACCAGUGUAACCAGUUGUGGUGCAGGCGGUGGCCGUGGGGCGCCGGGGGCUGCUGGUUCUGGUGCGGAGGGGUCUGCGGGCUCUGUCCUGGCACUCCCUGGUGCUGCCCAGUCUAUCCCAGUCUAUCCCAGUCUAUCCCAGUCUA